rnacentral:rRNA from 1 species
CCUACGGGAGGCAGCAGUUAGGAAUAUUCGUCAAUGGGGGAAACCCUGAACGAGCAAUGCCGCGUGAAGGAUGACGGUCCUAUGGAUUGUAAACUUCUGUUGUUAGGGAAGAACGACCUAAGUAGGAAAUGACUUAGGAGUGACGGUACCUUUCAAGAAAGCUCCGGCUAACUACGUGCCAGCAGCCGCGGUAAUACGUAGGGAGCGAGCGUUAUCCGGAUUUAUUGGGUGUAAAGGGUGCGUAGGCGGCUUCUUAAGUCUGUAGUCUAAGCCCGGAGCUUAACUCCGGUUCGCUACAGAAACUG